GUAGGGAAUAUUGGGCAAUGGAUGCAAGUCUGACCCAGCCAUCCCGCGUGCCGGAAGAAGGCCCUCAGGGUUGUAAACGGCUUUUGACGGUGAAGAAUCGACAGGAUGCGUCCUGUUUUGACGGUAGCCGUUGAAUAAGCACCGGCUAACUCCGUGCCAGCAGCCGCGGUAAUACGGAGGGUGCGAGCGUUGUCCGGAUUUAUUGGGUUUAAAGGGUGCGUAGGCUGGAAGGUCAGUCAGCGGUGAAAAGCUGUCGCUAAACGAUAGUCUUGCCGCAGAUACUUCCUUUCUUGGAUGAGGAGGAGGCCACUGGAACGGAUGGUGUAGCGGUGAAAUGCAUAGAUAUCAUCCAGAACACCGAUUGCGAAGGCAGGUGGCUGUACCUUAAUCGACGCUGAUGCACGAAAGCAUGGGGAGCAAACAGGAUUAGAAACCCUAGUAGUCC
rnacentral:rRNA from 1 species